rnacentral:rRNA from 1 species
AGUUCGGAUUGUAGGCUGCAACUCGCCUACAUGAAGUUGGAAUCGCUAGUAAUCGCGAAUCAGAAUGUCGCGGUGAAUACGUUCCCGGGUCUUGUACACACCGCCCGUCACACCACGAGAGUUUACAACACCCGAAGUCAGUGGCCUAACCGCAAGGAGGGAGCUGCCUAAGGUGGGGUAGAUGAUUGGGGUGAAGUCGUAACAAGGUACC